UACGGAGGGUGCGAGCGUUAAUCGGAAUUACUGGGCGUAAAGCGCACGCAGGCGGUUUGUUAAGCUAGAUGUGAAAGCCCCGGGCUCAACCUGGGAUGGUCAUUUAGAACUGGCAGACUAGAGUCUUGGAGAGGGGAGUGGAAUUCCAGGUGUAGCGGUGAAAUGCGUAGAUAUCUGGAGGAACAUCAGUGGCGGAGGCGACUCCCUGGCCAAAGACUGACGCUCAUGUGCGAAAGUGUGGGUAGCGAACAGC
rnacentral:rRNA from 1 species